rnacentral:rRNA from 1 species
GUUGAACGCUGGCGGCAGGCCUAACACAUGCAAGUCGAGCGGAGCGGCGGACGGGUGAGUAAUGCCUAGGAAUCUGCCUGGUAGUGUGGGAUAACGUCCGGAAACGGGCGCUAAUACCGCAUACUAUCAGAUGACCCUAGGUCGGAUUAGCUAGUUGGUGGGGUAAAGGCCUACCAAGGCGACGAUCCGUAACUGGUCUGAGAGGAUGAUCAGUCACACGGGAACUGAGACACGGUCCCGACUCCUACGGGAGGCGGGAGUGGGGAAUAUUGGAAAAUGGGCGAAAGCGGGAUCAAGCCAUGCCGCUUGUAUGAGGAAGGUCUCCGGAUUGAAAAGCACUUUAAUUUGGGCGGCGUUACCGACAGAAUAAGCACCGGCUAACUUCGUGCCAGCAGCCGCGGUAAUUC